rnacentral:snRNA from 1 species
GUGCUCACUUUGGCAGCACAUACACUAAAAUUGGAAUGAUACAGAGAAGAUUAGUAUAGCCCCUGAGCAAGGAUGACAUGCAAAUUCGAGGCCAUAAAAAAACACAA